rnacentral:rRNA from 1 species
AUUGAACGCUGGCGGCAGGCCUAACACAUGCAAGUCGAGCGGAUGAGGAAAGCUUGCUUUUCGAUUCAGCGGCGGACGGGUGAGUAAUGCCUAGGAAUCUGCCUGUUAGUGGGGGAUAACUCGGGGAAACUCGGGCUAAUACCGCAUACGUCCUACGGGAGAAAGUGGGGGAUCUUCGGACCUCACGCUAACAGAUGAGCCUAGGUCGGAUUAGCUAGUAGGUGAGGUAAUGGCUCACCUAGGCGACGAUCCGUAACUGGUCUGAGAGGAUGAGCAGUCACACUGGAACUGGGACACGGUCCAGACUCCUACGGGAGGCAGCAGUGGGGAAUAUUGGACAAUGGGCGAAAGCCUGAUCCAGCCAUGCCGCGUGUGUGAAGAAGGUCUUCGGAUUGUAAAGCACUUUAAGUUGGGAGGAAGGGUAUUCACCUAAUACGUGGGUACUUUGACGUUACCAACAGAAUAAGCACCGGCUAACUCUGCGCCAGCCGCCGCGGUAAGAC